rnacentral:rRNA from 1 species
UACGUAGGGCGCAAGCGUUAUCCGGAAUUAUUGGGCGUAAAGAGCUCGUAGGUGGUUUGUCGCGUUGUCCGUGAAAACUCACAACUCAAUUGUGGGCGUGCGGGCGAUACGGGCAGACUGGAGUACUGCAGGGGAGACUGGAAUUCCUGGUGUAGCGGUGGAAUGCGCAGAUAUCAGGAGGAACACCGGUGGCGAAGGCGGGUCUCUGGGCAGUAACUGACGCUGAGGAGCGAAAGCGUGGGGGAGCGAACAGGA